rnacentral:lncRNA from 1 species
UGACUCAGCUAUCCAACUUAGAGAGACAUCAGGUGUGUGAUUUCUUUAUAUUCUGAUCUAUAUUCUGACAUGAGUUCAUUCUGCUUUCUGAUUUACUUCUUCUUGGGAUUUUUUUUUAGCUCUGAAUUCUAUCUUCCUGUUUUUUUGGGAAAAACAGAUAUUGCAGCAACUGGCAGUGUUCUGUGCGAAUGAUUACACCCUAAGAGCACUCGGUUUCAGAAGACACAUCACAACAGCACAGGGAUUAUACCAAGGGAACCAGUCAAGAAGAUGGCUUCUCCUCUGUGCUGCUUCAUGAUUCUCUGCCUCCGUUUCAUGGUCUGCAUCUGCCAGCUACAGUGUGGCAAAGAAACCCCUGGCCGUGAGGAAUUUUCAUUAAAUGUGACUGAACACCUUAACCUGGAGUCUGGGGAAUGCAUAAGACUCCCAUAUGAACUGAUCUUACCAACAAGGGCAGUUACAGCACCAUAUACAAAGACAUGGUUCAACAGAGAUCCAUCAAAUAUCGUCACUACAACAGCUGUCAGUGAGCUGAAAGCUCAGACACGAGACAUUUUCUUUAUGCGUGGCCUCGCACAGGGAGAGUAUCAGUACGGGCUCCAGCUGGAAUGGGGCUGUAAUCAGACGUUUGUUUUCUCCAAGCGGAUUCACAUUCAGGUUUCUGCGCUGAAAAAGAAACCAUACAUUCGAAUGCCCGUCAUGACAGAAGGACAGCCGGCUGUAUUAUUGUGUGAGACUCUGCAGUUAUGCACUGGCACGGGACUUACCCGAUGGGAAUGGACAAAGGCUGAGGGACAGUCUCCACUGAUUCUUGAUUAUGGAGCCCUACUUCGCCUCACACCUACUGAAGAAUAUCACAACACCCACAUCACAUGUGUGGCAAACUACACGUACGCUGUGGUUAACACAACUGUCGCAGUGACUGUGAAAUUUCCGCCUAAAAUCCUAAAUGUUUCUAAGUGCAUGGUCACCGGAGAGCAGCUGGUCUGUGUGUGUGUCAGUCGGGGGGAUCCUCUCCCAGUGGUUUCCUGGCCUUUGUUAACUUUCACUGAGUACUCAUCAAGCAGCUCCAGCCGCCUCCAACAAGUAAACAGCACCAUCACCCUGCCUGCUUCUCACUACAACAAUGCAACCCUCAGAUGUAUGAGCAGCAACGAGCUGGGCCACACCGAGACUGAAAUACCACUACAAAUCUACACAGAGAAUUCAAAGGCGAAUGAUGUGUCGGUUUUAAAGUCUGAUGCAGCCUACGCUUGGAUAGUUGUUGGAGUUUCUUUGAGCCUCAACGUGGUCCUCAUCACCAUCCUUAUCAUCUGUGCUCGCAAGAGGGGUAAAAGUCGACAGAAGGAACCCUGUGAGGAAAUGAACACAUACGCUUCCUUGAACGUAGCAGAUGUUGGGCAACUUUAUAGCGUCAUUUCUUCACGGAACACAAAAACCUGAGUGGUCAUUUUGGACACAUUAAUCUAACAGAUAAUAAUUGUAUUGAUAUAAAUUAAUGUUGUUUCCAUUUUAAUUACAGCCAGCAAAGGGCUCUGUGACAAUGUUGCCUGGAUUUUACUUGAAUGUUUAUUCAUGUUUAGAAUUUAUUUGGUUUUAUUUUUAUUUUACUCUUACUACUUUACCUUAUUUUAUAUUUAUAACCUGUUUUUUUUAGUAUACAUGGAGCACCUGGAAUGAAAG